rnacentral:rRNA from 1 species
AUGGAGUUGAUAUGGACGUCUGAGGCUCCUAGAGAUAUUCCACAUUUCCACUUGAGCCGCCAGGUUCUUGAAUCGGCUGCUAUAUAUAUCAGCUAUCUCUUGCAAAUAGUUCAACUUGCCACUUUGUGGUUGAUCUCUAUGCUGUUAUCACUAUCAUUAGUGAUUAGAUUUUUCCCGAGUGUUCCUUUUUGUUGUUCACAAAUGACACAUGUAUAUCCUGCUCGCCCGUGUACAAACAACAUGAUAAGCGCAAUUGCUUUUACAAAAAAUUACAAAAAGGCUGUGGUAAUUGCUGGGCUUGGUGUAAAUCCAGAAAGUAGCAGUUACAUACAUCUUACAUGUAUUCACCCUCCUAUUAUUUCGUUUUAUGCAGCUGAGAAGGAUGUGCACAUCGGCGGUACAGUCAAGAAAUGCUCUUUUCAUGCCUGGCCCGUACAAUAG